AACGAACGCUGGCGGCAUGCCUAACACAUGCAAGUCGAACGAGACCUUCGGGUCUAGUGGCGCACGGGUGCGUAACGCGUGGGAACCUGCCCUUAGGUUCGGAAUAACUCCCCGAAAGGGGUGCUAAUACCGGAUAAUGUCUUCGGACCAAAGAUUUAUCGCGUUUGUAUGGGCCCGCGUUGGAUUAGCUAGUUGGUAGGGUAAAAGCCUACCAAGGCGACGAUCCAUAGCUGGUCUGAGAGGAUGAUCAGCCACACUGGGACUGAGACACGGCCCAGAAUCCUACGGGAGGCAGCAGUGGGGAAUAUUGGACAAUGGGCGAAAGCCUGAUCCAGCAAUGCCGCGUGAGUGAUGAAGGCCUUAGGGUUGUAAAGCUCUUUUACCCGGGAUGAUAAUGACAGUACCGGGAGAAUAAGCUCCGGCUAACUCCGUG
rnacentral:rRNA from 1 species